GAAAUGCGAUAAGUAAUGUGAAUUGCAGAAUUCAGUGAAUCAUCGAAUCUUUGAACGCAGCUUGCGCUCCUUGGUAUUCCUUGGAGCAUGCCUGUUUGAGUAUCAUGAAAUCUUCAAAGUAAAUCUUUUGUUAACUCAAUUGGUUUCUACUUUGGUAUUGGAGGUCUUUGCAGCUUCACACCUGCUCCUCUUUGUUCAUUAGCUGGAUCUCAGUGUUAUGCUUGGUUCCACUCGGCGUGAUAAGUUAUCUAUCGCUGAGGACACUGUAAAAGGUGGCCAAGGUAAAUGCAGAUGAACCGCUUCUAAUAGUCCAUUGACUUGGACAAUACUUUUAUGAUCUGAUCUCAAAUCAGGUAGGACUACCCGCUGAACUUUAGC
rnacentral:misc_RNA from 1 species